GACGAACGCUGGCGGCGUGCCUAAUACAUGCAAGUAGAACGCUGAAGGAGGAGCUUGCUUCUCUGGAUGAGUUGCGAACGGGUGAGUAACGCGUAGGUAACCUGCCUGGUAGCGGGGGAUAACUAUUGGAAACGAUAGCUAAUACCGCAUAAGAGUAGAUGUUGCAUGACAUUUGCUUAAAAGGUGCAAUUGCAUCACUACCAGAUGGACCUGCGUUGUAUUAGCUAGUUGGUGGGGUAACGGCUCACCAAGGCGACGAUACAUAGCCGACCUGAGAGGGGGAGCGGCCACACUGGGACGGAGACACGGCCCAGACUCCUACGGGAGGCAGCAGUAGGGAAUCUUCGGCAAUGGACGGAAGUCUGACCGAGCAACGCCGCGUGAGUGAAGAAGGGUUUCGGAUCGUAAAGCUCUGUUGUAAGAGAAGAACGAGUGUGAGAGUGGAAAGUUCACACUGUGACGGUAUCUUACCAGAAAGGGACGGCUAACUACGUG
rnacentral:rRNA from 1 species